AUCCUUUCGUGGUUUAUUAGUGUGAUGAUUGGGUGUUCAUGCUGUUGUGUGAGAUGUGCCUCCCUUGAGCCUUGUUACAAACUCUUCACAUGACCUGAUG
rfam:Tupaia chinensis contig93312, whole genome shotgun sequence.